UUUUUCAUAUAAUUCAAAUAUAGUCCACAGAAAAAGACGCAAGAAAAUUGAGUAAAAUGACAUGUAAUGUUACUUAUGAGUUAUUACCAUACCGCUUUUUAUUCAGUUUCAUUCAGUUUAACAUUAACAUAUUUUUACUUAAAUGUGUAAACAAAAUCUCAAUUCAUUUUAAAGACUGACUUUGCAUCUUUAAUACUUACACCAGUUUCUGUUAAAUGAAGUUGUGAUAAAUAUUUCUAUUUCCUUUGAAUGUAGAUCAAAUGAACCUGUCUCAGGCAGAAGAACAGGACAGUAGCUUUUCUCGAUCUUUUAGAACAAGAAAAUAUUGAAUUGCCCGAAAAUAUAUUAAUAUUUGGAAUAAGUGGGGCUGAAAAAAGUUCUCUUGUAAAUACAAUACACAAAGUGUUAACAGGGAAAUAUUCUGAAAUAGAUGAAAAAGGAUGCGGUGAAACGAAAACUUUAACAAAGGAGUUAAGAAGGUACGAAAACUGUGGAGUUAAGGAAAACAGGAUACAUGACUGUGUAUUAAGGUCCACUUUAAAAAAUCAUAGUUAUUGGACCGUGAAAUCUGCAAUGUUUACUUCUAUUUUAAUGAUAUAACACCUUUCUGAAAGUAUCCAACACAUAUCCAUUUACAGACCCGUGCAGACUAUAUUUGCUAAUCACAAAAUGUGAUCUAAUAAAUGGCAAAGACCAAACACAGAGAAAGAAAACAUAUCGGAACGAAAAUGACGGCAAUGAUUAUGACAUUGAAACUGUAGAGAAAAACUUGUACAAACACUCAUCAUGGAAGGAACUUUCGAUAAUCGAAAACAGCGCUUGGUAAAUUUGACAGAUUACAAUAGACAUGAAGAUGUCCAGGUGGAUAGGGAUACAUUGAAAUUUUUACAAAACCUUGUUAAGCCUAUAACAGGAGGAGAUAAAUGGGACAAUUUUCUCGGAUUUCAAACUAGACUUCAUCUCAAAUUGCUAUAUUUCAAGCAAAAAUUUCGCAGUCUUUUUACUCAAGAUAUAAGUGUAAAUUUUCAUCAAGUAGUUAUAUUUCUGAUGAAACUGCACUUGUGGUAGCAGUUUUGUUUCAUUUAAUAGCCAAAGAUCCGGCAAAUAAUGCCAAAACGUAACAAUUGACACUGUUUUGUAUUAUUUUCUAAAAUUUACAUAUAUGUUUCAUAAUUUCUUGAUUUCUCUCGUAUUUUUUACUGUUUUUGUACACUUUAAGUUAUUUACUAGCAAUUAAAUUUGUUAAAUUACACAUCAAAACAAAUUUUGGUUGAGAAAGGACAAUAUUUCGCUUAGAUGCAAUGUUUCUUUUUAACCUUUAUUGCAAAGUAAAUACAUACAAUGUUCAUGACAAUUUCAAUAUGCGUUGUAUAUUACUAUUGUUAUACCGCUAAUUCACAUGUGUAUGCCAUAUUGGAGAGGUAUGGGUGAAUGAUGUGAUAUCUGAUAAAUGAAAAUCCAAGAUUUGAAUUUGCGAAAACAAAAACUCUUUAUCAUGUAAAAGUCAUGACGGAAUAUGUAUUUAUAUUGCAAUACAUCAGUUUAAAGUAAUUGCAAUAUCUAAAUAAGCAAACAUAAAAUAAUUAUGGUGAGUUUAACAAUAAUAGCUUUGCAUUUAAGAGGAUACCCAGAUAUUUAUCGAUGUUAAAAAUCCUGUAUAAAACAGUUUUAGUCAAAUAUUACAAAAUAACUAUAUCUAAUAUAAAUUCUGUUACAUUGUA